rnacentral:rRNA from 1 species
AGCGAACGCUGGCGGCAGGCCUAACACAUGCAAGUCGAACGAACUCUUCGGAGUUAGUGGCGGACGGGUGAGUAACACGUGGGAACGUGCCUUUUGGUUCGGAAUAACUCAGGGAAACUUGUGCUAAUACCGAAUGUGCCCUUCGGGGGAAAGAUUUAUCGCCAUUAGAGCGCCCGCGUCUGAUUAGCUAGUUGGUGAGGUAACGGCUCACCAAGGCGACGAUCAGUAGCUGGUCUGAGAGGAUGACCAGCCACACUGGGACUGAGACACGGCCCAGACUCCUACGGGAGGCAGCAGUGGGGAAUCUUGCGCAAUGGGCGAAAGCCUGACGCAGCCAUGCCGCGUGAAUGAUGAAGGUCUUAGGAUUGUAAAAUUCUUUCACCGGGGACGAUAAUGACGGUACCCGGAGAAGAAGCCCCGGCUAACUUCGUG